GAACAAGACAAUUGAUGUUUUGCUUUAUGUGGAUCGUCUUGAUACAUAUAGGGUGGACAAUUUGGAUAGGCAGAUUGUAAAGGCCAUAACAGAUAGUUUCGGCAAGGAAAUAUGGCGUAGAGGACUUGUGGUCCUCACACAUGCUCAGGUCUCCCCUCCUGAUGGAUUGAGUUAUGACGAGUUCACUUCGAGAAGAUCAGAGGCACUUCUGAAAAUUGUCCGCCUGGGAGCUCGAAUGAAGAAACAAGAGAUCAAGGCUGCUUCAAUUCCUCUUGUUUGCGUUGAGAACAGUGGGAGAUGUAACAAGAAUGAACUCGACGAAAAGAUUCUUCCAAAUGGAACUGCUUGGAUACCCAGUAUACUCCAAACUAUUACCGAAGUUGUCGUAAGUCAAAGCAAGGGUAUCUUGAUUGAUCAAAAAUUGAUCGAAGGACCAAAUCCCAACAAUAAGGGCAAAUUGCUGAUCCCUCUUAUCGCAACAUUCCAGUAUUUCUUCGUUGUGAAAAGGAUCCAGACGUGGAUCAAAAACGACAUUUCAAGAGAGAACAGACCUUCAUGGGCAUAAGCAAACCCCUCGGGAUGAGCCUCGUUACCAACUAACUCAAUUUCCCUUCUGGUUCUCCGUAGUAUUUCGAGUUCUCCUUGUCAUAAGUUCUGUUCAUUUUUGGUAAUAUUGUAGCAGUUGUGCUUUUGUUGUUAAUAUUGUAGCAGUUGUAGUUGGCCAUAUUAGUUUACCCUUACCAAACAUUUUGUUUCAAGUUAUUGCAGUGUCCACUUUGUCUAGUUUCUCGGCCUCGUACCGUGCCCCUUACGUUCAUGAUAUCGUGUGAUUUAGUGACAAUAUCUUAUAUGCUUAAAGUAAAUUUUUCAAGGAAGUUAUAC
rnacentral:misc_RNA from 1 species